CGCUGGCGGCAGGCCUAACACAUGCAAGUCGAGCGGUAGCACAGAGAGCUUGCUCUCGGGUGACGAGCGGCGGACGGGUGAGUAAUGUCUGGGAAACUGCCUGAUGGAGGGGGAUAACUACUGGAAACGGUAGCUAAUACCGCAUAACGUCGCAAGACCAAAGUGGGGGACCUUCGGGCCUCAUGCCAUCAGAUGUGCCCAGAUGGGAUUAGCUAGUAGGUGGGGUAACGGCUCACCUAGGCGACGAUCCCUAGCUGGUCUGAGAGGAUGACCAGCCACACUGGAACUGAGACACGGUCCAGACUCCUACGGGAGGCAGCAGUGGGGAAUAUUGCACAAUGGGCGCAAGCCUGAUGCAGCCAUGCCGCGUGUGUGAAGAAGGCCUUCGGGUUGUAAAGCACUUUCAGCGGGGAGGAAGGCGAUAAGGUUAAUAACCUUGUCGAUUGACGUUACCCGCAGAAGAAGCACCGGCUAACUCCGUGCCAGCAGCCGCGGUAAUACGGAGGGUGCAAGCGUUAAUCGGAAUUACUGGGCGUAAAGCGCACGCAGGCGGUCUGUCAAGUCGGAUGUGAAAUCCCCGGGCUCAACCUGGGAACUGCAUUCGAAACUGGCAGGCUAGAGUCUUGUAGAGGGGGGUAGAAUUCCAGGUGUAGCGGUGAAAUGCGUAGAGAUCUGGAGGAAUACCGGUGGCGAAGGCGGCCCCCUGGACAAAGACUGACGCUCAGGUGCGAAAGCGUGGGGAGCAAACAGGAUUAGAUACCCUGGUAGUCCACGCCGUAAACGAUGUCGAUUUGGAGGUUGUGCCCUUGAGGCGUGGCUUCCGGAGCUAACGCGUUAAAUCGACCGCCUGGGGAGUACGGCCGCAAGGUUAAAACUCAAAUGAAUUGACGGGGGCCCGCACAAGCGGUGGAGCAUGUGGUUUAAUUCGAUGCAACGCGAAGAACCUUACCUGGUCUUGACAUCCACAGAACUUAGCAGAGAUGCUUUGGUGCCUUCGGGAACUGUGAGACAGGUGCUGCAUGGCUGUCGUCAGCUCGUGUUGGGAAAUGUUGGGUUAAGUCCCGCAACGAGCGCAACCCUUAUCCUUUGUUGCCAGCGGUUAGGCCGGGAACUCAAAGGAGACUGCCAGUGAUAAACUGGAGGAAGGUGGGGAUGACGUCAAGUCAUCAUGGCCCUUACGACCAGGGCUACACACGUGCUACAAUGGCAUAUACAAAGAGAAGCGACCUCGCGAGAGCAAGCGGACCUCAUAAAGUAUGUCGUAGUCCGGAUUGGAGUCUGCAACUCGACUCCAUGAAGUCGGAAUCGCUAGUAAUCGUAGAUCAGAAUGCUACGGUGAAUACGUUCCCGGGCCUUGUACACACCGCCCGUCACACCAUGGGAGUGGGUUGCAAAAGAAGUAGGUA
rnacentral:rRNA from 1 species